CCCUGGAGUAUAGUAAAUAUAAUAAUUGAUAGUAAAUAUAAAAAUUUAAAUUAUAAAUGAUAAAUAGAAAAUAGAAAAGGGAAAGUAAGGUAAUGCAAAAAAGAAACCGAGAAACAGGUCUGGAUAUUUGGAAGGUACUGCCCAGAUGCGGGUCAGGAUCUGUUCAGCAGGCUUAUCACAGUUGGAAAGAAGCUGUUCCCAAAUCUGGCUGUAUGAGUCUUCAAGCUCCUGAACCUUCUCCCGAGGGAAGAGGGACAAAUAGUGUGUUGGCUGGGUGGGUCUUGUCCUUGAUUAUCCUGGCAGCACUGCUCCGACAGCGUGCGGUGUAAAGUGAGUCCAAGGAUGGAAGAUUGGUUUGUGUGAUGUGCUGGGCUAUGUUCAUGAUCUUCUGCAGCUUCUUCCGGUCUUGGACAGGACAACUUCCAUACCAGGUUGUGAUGCACCCUAGAAGAAUGCUUUCUACAGUACAGCUAUAAAAAUUUGUGAGGAUUUUAGGGGGCAGGCCAAAUUUCUUAUACCUUAUAUCUUAUAUCCUUGCAUCCUGUAUGGCUGGUAUAUGCUUCUGUUCAUCUGGAGGAUGAGCAUGUGUGAGCAGGGCCUUUGUUUACCUGCUCAGCCUUUCCUUAAUGCACCUCAGCUGCUCGGUUUUGUUAUUUCUGCUGUUCUGGCAGUACCCACAGUACAUGCUUUGCUUGACUAUGCAGCAUGCAGCACAUAAUGCCUCCAUAUCUGCAUGAUGUGCACUGCAGGUGUCCUCAAAAUGAAUAAGGCAACAAAAUCUCUCUUGCAAAGACCAGUGUCAGUUCACACUACCAAGCUGGUGCCUUGAAUACCUUUCAUUCUAUUAAUGUUCUGCUGCUGUGCUUGGAGGAAGUAUUGAUGUGAGGGAAAGGAAAGUAGAAGGUAGUCCAUGGCUCCCUGAGUUUACCUUCCAAUCUGUGCAGGCUACUGCAAAUGCCAGACGGAGCAAACUCCCUAUCGAUAAAGGAGUCGUGUUUGCUUCCAGGAAGCAUGGCAUUCAUCACGAGGAAUUUCUUCUCUUCACAACAAUCCGCACACUGAUGGAGUGGAGAGCUUUCCUCUGCACAAGAUCCAUCUGUGCAUUUAAGAUCAGAUGUUUUAGGCAGCUGAAAGCAGUUGACAAAUGCCAGAUUGAAUAAGACACCAGCAAUCCCAAUACCUGGGAUCUUACCUGCACAUUACUGACAUCAAAGGAGAAAAAAAAUCUUCAUUAAUAUAGUAUGGAAUUUGCAGUAUUGUCAUUGGGCAUUCAAUCUCACCUCAGCUGCAGAAUUCAGUUCUUUUUCACUAUUACUGAAAUAAAAUUUGGAUUUGAAUAGUUCAUAUAAAACACAACAGUUUAUUAUAACUGCAGCUUGUUAAGAUUUUUGACAUUCCAUCAUUUUGUUGACAGUGGUAGACAGAUGGAGAAACAGUUGGAUGGAUAGGAAUUGUUUUUAUUUUUGCCAACAUAACUGACAGGUAACUUUCAUUUUCAAAUAAUCAUCUUGAAUGUGAAUUCCCUUAUUGUGAAGCUGUGACUACUUGCUUGUGACUGUCUCACAUCAGCAAAAACAUAAAAAAUCUCACUAUCUACCAGGUCAAGUUUCCUUAGAAUCCUACAGGUUUGGGUAAAUCCUUAAAAACUCCAAGAAAUAGAGGCUGUAUCUGUCCAGCCUCUGUUGAAAGGACAACCCUUCCAUUCCAAGAAUUAUCCUAGUUGUUGUUCUUUGACUGCCUUCGAAGCUAUUAUAUCCUUUAUCAGAUAAGGGUACCAAAACUGUGCACAGUAUUUCAAGUCUAGCUUCAGCAACAUCCUUUGGAACUAUAAUAAAUCCUCAUUAUUUUUAAUCUCCAAUCCCUUUGCAAUGAAGACCAAUGUGCUGUUUGCCUUCUUAACUAUUUGUUAGACCUGCCUGUGCUCUAUCUCUUUCUGGUCAAUAAUCUGCUUCACAAUUCCACUUACCAAAGUGUAUGAGCUCCCACUUUCUCACAUUUGCCUCCAUUUGCCAAGCCUUUGCUAAUCACUCAAACUAACCGUAUUCAUUGCAGAAUCACAUUGUAAAUAAGUGCCUUUCCACUUAUUUUUGUGUCGCUGGUAGACUUGGAAACCUGAUAUUCUCUUCCUCUUUCAGGUCAUGAAUACAAAAAAUAAAUGGCGGAAGGCCAAGAAUGAAUCCCAGGGUUACAAACAUGAGAAAGUCUGCAGAUACUGGAAAUCCCAAACAAUGCUGGAGGAACUCAGCAGGUCGGGCAGCAGCUAAGGAAAAGAGUAAUUAGUUGAUAUUCCAGGAUGAGACCCUUUUUUAAGACUCUACAAAUGACACUUCACCUGUGAGUCUGUUGGACAGGGCAACCGUGCCCAAGGAAGAGGUACAAGGACAACAUCAAGUCAAACUCCAACCCCGCGAUCAUGAACACACUGCUUGCUGCUGAUCAGUCCAAGUGGCGCAAUCUAUGCUCCAAGGCUGCAAACAACUUCCAAGCCAACUGGUGCAUGCGGCGCCUCAGGGACAGCCAAGAAAGACACAAGGAGGCGUCCGCUCCUGCCCCAACAGGCGGUGCUCCUUGCCCCAUCUGCAACCAUAUCUGCGCUUUGGACUUCGGCCUCAGAAGUCUUAUGCGUGCCCACAGACGUUGACUGCGCAACACAUUCGUCUUCCUCGGAGUACGAGAGACUACUACUCAUCAGCUGCGUGGAAAGGGGGAGCCUGCUGCGUGGGCAAAGCUUGUUCUCCAUGUUGUACUGCCCUGGAACAUGUAUCAACUGAACGCAGACAGCUAAGAUGCAACAUCCAUGCUUGCCCCCAACCAACGCAGGGGCUCACAUAUCUAUAGGUUGCUGUCUGUCAACUCUGUACGUAACAUCCUCAAGAACUGGAGCAAACUUGUAAAACAUUAUUUACCCUUCAUAAAACCAUGCUUAUAUGAUUAUAUUCAGCUUUGCUAAAUAAUUAAUCAUGUCUGCUUUGGUUAGUGACACUAGCACAUUGUGAAUAAUGGAUGUUAAUCCAAAUGGCCUGUAAUUCCCCUUCUUGUUGAUUCCCUCCUGAACAAAGGAGUCACUUUGGCUGUUUUUCAAUCUUCUGCUGUCUUCAUGAGACUUGGCAAGUUUAAAAAAAAAUCCAACCAACUGGUUUACUAUUUUUGAUUUGAUCUAUUACUUCUGUUAGCCCAGUUUUAUGAAUUGUCCUGGUUAUCAUAUCUACCAAUUUCCUUGUCCAUGUGACUACACCAAACCCUCUUAUUUCACAGCCACCUACCUAGCUGUUGGUAAGGGCUCCGUCAAAAUGAUGGCAAGGUUGUGCAUCAUGUGGCAUACCUCCUCACUUUUUGAUGCGUAUGCUGCAGAAUAGUUUAGGAACAGCAAUAACCUUUCAGCACCAUAAUAUUCUGGUUUACAAAAUUUUGUGUGUGUAUGUAUGUAUAUAUGCGUGGGUGAUGGAGAUCCUUACUGAUGGAUGCCGCCUUUUUGAGGCAUCACUCCUUGAAGAUAUCUCGGAUGCUAGGGAGGCUAGUAUUAAAAAACAAUUAAACAAAAGGGAGGCUAGAGCCCAUGAUGGAGCUGACUAAGUUUACAACUUUCUGCAGCUUAUUUUGAAUCUGUGUGGUGUCUCCAUACUGGACUGUGAUGCAGCCAGUUAGAAUGCUCUUCACAGUACACUUGUAGAAAUUUGAGAGUGUCUUUGGUGGCCUACCAAAUCUCCUCAAAUUCCUAAUGAAAUAUAACUGUAGUUGUGCCUUCUUUGUGACCGCAUUGAUAUGUUGUGCCCAGAGUAGGUCCUGAGAGAUGUCGACACCCAGGAACUUGAAGUUGCUCACCCUUUCCACUUCUGAUCCCUCGAUAAGGACUGGUGUGUGUUCCCCUGUCUUACCCUUUCUGAAGCCCACAAUUAGUUCUUUGGUCUCACUGACGUUGAGUGCAAGCUUGUUGCUGUGACACCACUCAACUAGCUGUUAUUGUAAUUAUUCAAGUGUGGUAGACUGCCACUGAAUAAGAUCUUGCUGUCUGCUGUUAGAAAUCUAGAUAUCCACUGUGGCACGCUGAAAAUGAUCAAACAUUGAUUAGAUAAUGAGAGAAUUAUCCUAUGGUGCAAUCUAAAAUUUAGAUAAUUUCGCAUCCGCUAGUCUCGCGAGAUCAUGGAUCUGUGCCUGGAAAGUCUUGCUUCAGCCUCUCCAGGGUGCAGGCCUGGGCAAGGUUGUAUGGAAGACUGGCAGUUGCCCAAGCAGCAAGUCUCCCCUCUCCACACCACCCAUGUUGUCCAAGGGAAGGGUAAGGGCCAAUACAACUUGGCACCAGUGUUGUCGCAGGAGUUGCCAGAGCGAGGUUGAAGGUAAUGUCGGACUGCCUUAGGGACUCCAGCUCCGGAUUUGUCCUCGGGGUUUACUCCCGAAGCCUUUCCCAUGAGUGGGUAUGGCCGCAAGGCAGCAGAGGUUGGAAAGUUUUCCCUCACUUAGAUGGACUGCCUUCUCAGGCUGACAAACUCCAUCAACAAUUUCUUGUUGAUACCAGCAUAUUUUACAGACUAAAUGAUGUUGUUUCUGGCUAACUAUUUAUUAAGUUUAAAAGAACUUGAUAAAUAACAUCAAAUAGUUUGCCCUGAGGAAAGGUCUUGGCCCGAAAUGUCGAGGGUACUCCUUUCCAUAGAUGCUGCCUGGCCUGCUGAGUUCCUCCAGCAUUUUGUGUUUGUUGCUUAAUAAGUAGUUUGCCAGGACAUGAAUAGAGAUAAUAUCACUGAUGUUACGCAGUGUUAUAAUAUGCCUCACAGUGAACCAGAAAAACAUGGAACAGUCCAGCACAAUACAGGUCUUCUGGCUCAUGAUAUUGUGCCAGUCUUUUGACCUACGCCUUGAUCAAUCUAACCUUUCCCACUUACAUAGCCCAUAACCCUACAUUUUUCUUUCAUUCAUUGCCCGAGUGAGAGUCUCUUAAAUAUCCUUAAACUGUCAGCCUCUAUCUCCACCUCCGGUAUGAGUUCCAGGCAGAAAAUGAGCCACACCCCACUAUCGUCAAAGUUUAAAGGGGGAGUAGGAAUCAGAGCCCUGAUGAGUUGAAAAGUAAUAAAUGGGAAUGGAACAUGUGAACCAGGGUCGUCAUCUUCAUCAUCAUUUCGGGUUGCGUCGUAUGUCGUGGACGAUCAUGGUCUGUGGUUCAUGGCAACUGUUUUUACAGAAGCGGUUUGCCAUUGCCUUCUUCUGGGCAGUGUCUUUACGUGAUGGGCCAUUAUCAAUAAACUUCAGAGAUUGUCUGCCUGGUGUUAGUGGUUAGUGGUGUUUGUGAUAUUCACCAGCUGCUCAUACGACCAUCCACCAUUUGCUCCUGUGGCUUCACGUGAUCCUUAUUGGGGGUGGGGGAGGUGUUGCACUUAGUGCACAAGGUAUUUGUUGUACUUGUUGCACAAGGUAUUCCACCUCGCCCAAGGGUGACCUGCAGGCUAGGGGAGGGAAGGAGCGCCUUGCGCCUUCUUUAUGUAAAGGGGGUUUCUUCUUUUUCUUUGUUACUGCGUAUGUUAAUCAAAAUGGCUUUGUUAAGAGUAGGAAUGCUUCUUUGUUGCGAGAGAGUGCUGGAAGCUUGUUUGGGUUAAAAUUUACUGAUAAUGAGAAUUGUAUUCCUUUGUUAACCAAUUGGGAUUAAUGUUGUUCUUCUGAGUCUGUAAGCUAUUGUUGGCGGGCUUUUGGGGAGAUCGGCACAAGGGAGUGAGAGAGAGAGAGAGGACGCAAUGCUGUUAACAGGGUGAGGAACGGACCCCAAGCGGGGUCUGAGGCCAGAAGGUACCUCGAGGAGAGGAGACAAGGAUAGAUGUGCUUGGUUGACCACUUUGGGUGGUCCUGAGCUGCAAGUCGAGGAGUUCAGAGGGGAUCGAAUGGUGGCCAGAAGACUUCAGUAAUUGAGCUCCAACGGUUGUGCACAAAGUGGUUUGGACUUUGAUAAGUUUGGCACCUUUUCUUUUUUGUUUCCUUCAUAUAUACUGUAUCGUUAUUGAUCAUUUAGUUAUAGUAAUCUUCAUAAAUUGUAAUCAUUUAAUCGCA